rnacentral:lncRNA from 1 species
GGUGAGCCAAGACUGUGCCACUGCACUCCAGCCUGGGUAACAGAGUAAGACUCCAUCUCAAAAAAAAUAAAAUAAAAAUAAAAAUAAGAAAAUAUGCAUUUUUCUUAUAUGUCUAUGAAAAACUUAGAAAAAUCAUUUACUUGGUCACAAAGAAAUUCAUAAUAAAUUUUAAAAGUGGAGAUUUUACACAUCUGGAGAAAAUGAAUGCUUUCCUAGUAAAAUAUAAAAUGGCCAAAAUUAACUAGAAGGUGAGUAGAAACUUAAAUAAACUAAUUACCACUGAUGAGAAAAAAAAUCUGCCACUGAAAAAGGCACCAGGUCCAGAGGGUUUCAUGAGAGGGAACUGUAGAAACCUUUUGAAUUCAUCUUUGCCAACACCUUCCUCCUCCAGGAAGCACUCUUGGAUUUCCCUCUUGCGAACAAGAUUCUGGGAGGAUGGCUCCUCCAACAUGCCCCCCACAGCUCUUUGCAGAUGCAUCAUGUCAUAUCAUAUCAUAUCUGCCAUACCAUAACUACCAUGCCAUACCAUAUCAUAAUUGGAUCUGCUGUUCAAUUUCUCCUGGACAGUAAGCUACCUGAGGGCAGGAACCAUCCUUUAUUUUUCAUUGCUCCCUAGUGCCCAGUACAGCAGCUGACAUUCACUGACUAGGUGAAUAUGGUAAGUGAAAAAGCAGAAGGCACAAUCGUCAUUACGCUGUGAUGUCUCUAUGGGAACUGCCCAAGACAUACACAUAAGAAGGCAGAAUAAAUGGGAAGAAACCAACAUGCUAACAGUCAUUUGAUUGAGAUUUCCUCCUAUUAUUCAAAUAUUUGUAAUGGAGUUAAGCUAUUUUUAUAGGGAGGGAAUAGUAAUUUACACAUUUAACUGGGCCAACGAGGAGAAAGGAAGGGGGAGGUUGGGAGGAUUCUGCAGGCAGGCCCUUCUGCUACCUCUGCUUCCUCUCUCUGGCCCAGCCCCUAGACAGACACAAAGGCCUGGACGGGGGCCCCUGCCCCACUCCCUUCAUGCCUCACAGGGGACCCCCAGCCAGGAGAAGGCAAGGAGGCAGGGUGGGCACCCACAGGGGCCUCAGUUGGACAGAAGGGUCCUGCGGGGCUCACCUGGCAACAGCUCUGCAAGUUCCCUCAACACCAGAAUCCUUCUGCAAUCUGGAAACAGAGCUUCCCAAAAUUUAGCAAGAGCACCUGUGCCCCUAUGCCCCUGUGCCCCAGAGCCCUAGUCCUGGCAGCCCUAUUUCCCCCUCAAUAUGAACAAACAGCCGCUGACCUCUCACUCCCCGGCACAGAUCCAGCUCUGAAUCUCCCUAACAUUCAGGCAUGGAGCCCCGACCGCAUUUCUGGUCAGCAGCUACCCCCUGGUCACGAUCAUGGACUUUCCCAUUCCCCAGGGCCUGGCACUGACCACCCAUCCAGGCUGGCAUUCAGAAGUACUGAUGCCCACCCUUCCCUGUACUGGACAUAGUCAUCUCUAAGAAGGGCAGAGAAAAUAGGUCCAUGGGAGCUAAGCUAUGAGGAGGCAAAGGCCUAAGAAUGAUAUAAUGGACUUUGGGGACUUGGGAGUGGGGGAAGGGUGGGAGGGGGGUGAGGGACAAGAGACUACACAUUGGGUACAGUGCACACCACUCGGGUGAUGGCUGCACCAAAAUCUCAGAAAUCGCCACUAAAGAACAAACACCACGUGCUCCCCACAACUAUUAAAAUAAAAUAAACAUUAAAAAAUAGGUCUAGAGUGAGGUCAACUACUGAGGCCUGGGAAGGAAGUGAGGGGGCAGGUGGGGCCCAUCUCAGUAAGCAGCACCACUGUCUGCCCAC